UACGUAGGGUGCAAGCGUUGUCCGGAAUUAUUGGGCGUAAAGAGCUCGUAGGCGGUCUGUCGCGUCGGCUGUGAAAUCCCGGAGCUCAACUCCGGGUCUGCAGUCGAUACGGUCAAACUGGAGUACUGCAGGGGAGACUGGAAUUCCUGGUGUAGCGGUGAAAUGCGCAGAUAUCAGGAGGAACACCGGUGGCGAAGGCGGGUCUCUGGGCAGUAACUGACGCUGAGGAGCGAAAGCGUGGGGAGCGAACAGG
rnacentral:rRNA from 1 species